GACAGAGGAGCCAAGCGUUGUCCGGAUUGACUGGGCGUAAAGCGCACGCAGGCGGGUGCGCGCGUGAGGUGUGAAACCUGGCCGCUUAACGGCCAGCGGCCAUCCCAUACGGCGCGCCUGGAGCCUUGCAGAGGGCGGUGGAAUUCCAUGUGUAGCGGUGAAAUGCGUAGAGAUAUGGAGGAACACCAGUGGCGAAGGCGACUUUCUGGUCUGUAACUGACACUGAGGCGCGAAAGCGUGGGGAGCAAACAGG
rnacentral:rRNA from 1 species